AAUGACGGGCGGUGUAUAGCAGAUAAUGUCGUUUUGAUAUUAAUUCCACAUUCCUUGAAAAAGUAAAUAAACAUCUGGAUCAAUUCAUACAUUUGCAACAUAAAUUUGAUAUUUCGCGUUAAUAGCAUGUUAAAUAUUUGAAAUAAAGUAUUUCCCAAUAUUAGAAUUAAUAUAAAUUAAUGUUAAAAUUAUGUUCGACUUGAAAUGAAAAAUAAUUUGAAUAAAAUUUGUAGUGCAUUAGAAAAAUUUAUUUCAUUCAUAAUUAUUUUGUAGUCUAUUUAAAAACAAAAUAUACUAUACACUUGUGGUUUGAAGUCACGAUUGGGAGUGGCAGAGGCGUGGCCCCCGCUGAAAAACACUUUCGUAGUUGACUGUGCUACCUCUAGAUGGAUUAAAUUGGGUUAGGAUUUUAUUAGGAUAGCCUACUGUAUACGUGUUAUGAUCCACAAACGAACGAAGACGACAGUUGAAUAAAAUAUUAAGCGGGAUAGAUGAUGAUUUCUUCACAAAUUUUGCGCGGUAGAUUUUUAAGUCAAAACCACACUAAGUGAUUAUGCUACGGGCCUUCCUAAAAGUCAUAGGGCUUAAUGAUAGCGCCAAGAUGUGAAAUGUUAGGGACAUGGCACUGAGCAUUAUUUCUUCUUGUUUAUUACGAAUAUUUGGAGUACCUGAACCAAAGGUGAAAACCUAACGUUACAUAUUCCGUUUGGCUUUCGAGUUCCAAUCGGUUCCAAUUCGACGAUUUUCAAGUUAUGCUUGGGAAAUACGAAAAUGCAUGAACAUUAUUAAAGUUAAGUCUCCCAUCCAUCUCCAUUGAUUAGCGACGCUGUUAUUUACGUUAAUUUCUUUUUUUUACCACUAGAUGUCUUUUUUUUUCGCGCGCAGUUUGUACGUUAAAAUUCCUAGCGAUGACGAUCGGAAAUAGGGGAUACGUUUUUCUUUUUGAUUAUUAGAAUUUCCAUAAAAAAUUUAGUCCUUCUCUGAUUUUUUUGAAAAAAAAAAUAAAGACAUAAUACCGUAAUCGUCAGAUUGAAAAUUAUGGGUUUAUCUCACAUAAAUAUAUUUUAUUAGGCCUAUUUGAUUUUGCAUCGUUACGACUGCUUCAUGAAUUUAAAAAAAUUACAAAAUAAAUUGCUGCUUGAUGACUGUGCGGCUAUGCAUUCUGAGCGUUUUGUUCUAAAAUAGGAGCAGAUCGACAAUAGCAUAGCCACAUAACGACAAAACAGUAUUUCAAACAAAGUGCUUGCUAAAAAUCAAAUUUUUUUAGUUUAUUGAACAAAAUACCUGGUUUGAAGGGAGUGACAAAGGCGUGUCCUCCGCUGCGAGGCACUAUCGUAGUUGAUUGUGCAGCCUUAGAUGGUUUAUAUUGCGUUCUGUUUUUUUGUAGGAUGGCCUACGAUAUAAUGUACGUUCGGUUGUGAUCUACGAACGAACGGAGACGACAGGCGAAUCAAAUAUUAAGCAGGAUCGAUUGUAGAAUAAAGAAUUUAAAUCCACUUUCUGCUUUCGACAUCUGGUUGUCGACGCUUUCGUAUGCGAGGACAAUAUCACAAUAUACUCGAUGCCAUAUGGCAACAGUUUAAAACCGAAAAUUUAAUUAAUUUAAAAUUUAUUACUUUAGAUUUUAUUUUAAUAUUAUUUAUUAAUUUAAAAUUUUACGUUUGUUCAAUAGUUUUUGCAUAAAGAUCAAGGCUAAAUUAUAGGAACAUUUUUUUAACCAGGAGGUGUCGAUUUUGGACUUUUUGGCGUCAUCAGGUCCCUCUUUGUGUUUUUGUUUGUGUGUUACUGUGUGUUACUUCCCUUUAACCUAAAUUCAAUCAUGACCACUAGAUGCCAUCAUGUAUUUUUAUGUUUUGUUUAUUAUACCAGCCGAUAGAGGGUUGAGGCGGAGGCAGGGAGACUCACGAAGAAAAGCAAAGUUCCCACUUCCUUCUUAUACGCCAAGCUGAGAGGGCAGCUUAGAAGGAGCUUUGAAUUAUCAAAGCUCCCUCUAAUUCGAAGCAAACCUCAAACAAUAAAUCGGCUAGCUAUCCGAGAUAGCUGCUAUCCCUUGCGAAAAUUGUUAGAUGAAAUAAAUAUUUUUAGAACUUCCUAUUUAUUAUUAUAUCUAUUUAACUAGUGGUUAAUUGCUAGUGCUCCGUACUUACUGGACUCCUUACAGUUGUACUUGGCCGAUAUAGAUAAUUAAGACCUUCUUAAUUCAAACUUGGAACUUAUUCCAACUAUUUUAUUUAAUUUUAUCAAGUUCUUUUGCUCUUUUCCCACGGCAGUAAAGAAGAAGGGAUUUUAAAAAACAUAUCGAGACGGGAAGGGCUAUUGAAUCACGCUUGUUCGACUUGGCUGAGACUUAUUUUUUAUUUAUUUUUUAUUUAGAAAUACAUACACAGGAGGAAAGAAUUUUAUCAAAACAAAAGUAACGCCAAAAAAGGGACCCAUUUACAUGAUAUGGCUUUGAGCUUAAGGCUUUUCAUCUUAUUCGUUACAAAGUUAGUCAUAUUCUUCCUCAGAAUCGGUGCUGCAAUUAUCCUGAAACUCUGCGCACAAAUCCGCCUCCCAUCCAUCAGUGUUUUGAGCCUUUUCCUGCUUUCUUUGUCUUUUGGAAUUUUUCAGAAGUUGAAGGGUUUUCUUUCUUUUGGAUUUUUCUUCAUCCCCUUAUUUAAAAAAAAUACAUUAAUUUAUAUUCAUUUUCUUUCUUACUGAUAAAAUUACCUUUCAUUGCACCUUCAUUAUUUUCCCGAUCAGGAGCUUCUGGAAGAAAUUUUUCAUCCAUUCCAGGUUUUUCUGUAAGCACAAAAAAAUAGAUUAUUUUUAAUUUUAAAUUUUCUUUCAGGUAAAUUUGCCUUUCAAAUUAGCAUUGAUUCCCAAAUUUUCAUUUUGUCCAGAAGGAAUGGCAUUUGCAGCCUGAUCCAAGAGUUUCAUUUGAGGAGUGGCUUCUACGGCAGCAACUUUAUGUUUGACAACUGUAUGUAAAAAAAACCUUUAUUUCAAAUAUUCACACAUUUAUUUUUAUCGAGGCAAUUAAAUUAACAAUACCUUUAACCUCAUCAAAUGCAGGUUUAUCAUCUGCUUCUUCCAAUUCAAGUUCAUCAUCUGCUUCGUCCAAUUCAGGUGCAUCAGAAUCAGAAUUGAUUCCCAAAUUUUCAUUUUGUUCAGAAGGAAUGGCAUUUGCAGCCUGAUCCAAGAGUUUCAUUUGAGGAGUCGCUUCUACGGCAGCAACUUCAUGUUUGACAACUGUUUAUCAUCUGCUUCUUCCAAUUCAAGUUCAUCAUCUGCUUUGUCCAAUUCAGGUGCAUCAGAAUCAUCUGCGUUAAUAAUUGAGUUUUACAAAAUUGUGAUCUUAGCUCUUACAUUUUUCUUUACCUGUUAAAGAACAGUCAUGAGAGUUCCAAGGAUAAAAUUAAUUCCGCACUAUUGAAUUAUUAAUUAGAUUCCACUUAUUGGAAACAAUAUGUUAUAAUAUUCUAUAUAAAAUACUUAAAAAUGAGCUAGAUGCAUCGAAAAGAAUGACUGACUCAUAAACUAAAUGGAUGAAGUGACUAACCAAGUGAAUUCAAUUUAUCAGCGACGAUUUAUUUCUGAGUUACAUCAGUUGUGUUCGAACAGUACCAAAAACAGGGCAUUUACAUUAAUUUUAAAAGGGUUUAAAGCUGCUACAAAGUGAAUUAAAGAAACUCUUCAUUGUCCUCGGACUCCGAUUCAGUCGUGCAGUGGGACAAGCUGCUGCACAGACUGCUUUCUUCGGAUCCUUCAUCGUCUCCGUAAUCUUCUCCAUCAUUACUGCCCGAAGAAUCAAAACCACCUUCUCCAACAUCUGAGACACCAUCUUCACUGUUUUGAUACUGACGAUCGAAAAAGUAGCGUUCAUGCUAUCCAGUUUGGCUUUUUUCGCAAAUUCAAUCCUGUAGUAUUUCUUCACAUUUCGUUUCAGAAUGAUUUUGUCAUCUGAAAGCGUGAAAUUUUUUAGUUAUUUUAGUUUAUUAACUGAAGUGUUAAUUUUUAUUAGUUGUUACAAACUAACCAUAAAGGUUUUCAAAUUCAUCGAGUGCUUCACCAAUUUCCAAAGUCAGUUCUGGUAAAUCUAGAAAAGAAAAGAAUAAUUUUGAACUGAAAUUACUUGAAAUCUAGAGCUAAAGAAUUUUAAGUUACCUUGCUUUCCUCCGUCUUCAUUCAUGACUUCCAAUACUUGCUGUUCCUCGGUAUCAUCUGAAGGGACUGUUUACAGACUAGGUUUAAUUUUAGCUUAUUGAUUUUAUAAGAUUUAAACUUACGAUUAGUGUUCGAUUUAACACAAGCAGAAUUUGUUGAAUCCUGCUUCAAACCACAUCUGAAAAAAUUAAAAAAAUUAUGCACUCUUUUCUGGGAAGUUUUGUUUGUAAUCAACUUACUUUUCACAAAGAUUCUCCAAUUCUCCAAUUCACUUCCUUCCAUUUCUUCAACUUUCACUUAUUUUGAAAUUAAUGUAAAGUUUGAAACUUUUCCAGAGUUUUCGAGACUUUGCGAGAGUUUAUAAUUUUUCAUCAUCUACGACUUCCAAUUCAGCUUCCCUUUGAAAAUUUUCAGAGAUUUCUUUUGGUACAUCGUCUGAAAUGAUAAACAUUUUUUUUUCCACCAACACUAUAAAAAGGUAUUAAAACUUUUGAUUACCUUGUUUUGUUUCUCCAGCUCUGUUUCCGAUAGGUCAUGAGAGGUGUUUAAACUGAGCUAUUCAAGUCUGAUACAGAUUUAUCAGAAUCAGAACUCAAGUCGCAGUAGUCAUAAGGCAUUAAAAUUAUUGUUUAUUACCUUGUUUUUUAUCCAUUGAUGUUUCUGAUAAAUCCUCAGAGGUGUUUGCUUACACGUAUGAGCUGUCGGAAUCAGAUUUAUUAGAAUCAGAACUGAAGUCACUGAAGUCACAAUAAUUAUAAUGAUAGUUCGACUCAUUAUCUCCUUCCAAAUACUCUUAAUCUAUUAAAGGGUAAUCUCUAAGAAAGGGUAUGCAAAAUUUAAAAUUAUUAACAAAUUCGUAAUCUGAUAAGAUUGAUUCCCCCCAAGAGGUUUAGCUAAAAAAAAAUUUAGUUAUAAAUUGUAUUAAAAUUGAAAACCUUUUUUUUAUGGUAAUCCAUUUAACAAAAAAAAGUUAUUUGUUCCCUUUUCUUAUGCUCUGUCCAUCUAGCGGUCACCACUAGAUACCCCAUAUUUUUGUGUUACAGACUUCCUUAAUUUUUUGGUUAGCAAAGAUGGUGAGUGUUUGCUCUGCCAAUUUGGUGACAGAAUUCGAGUUAUGAAAAAUAAGCAGGCCAUUAAAAGUACAGAAAAAGGAACCAAGGUGCAUUAUUGAUCUUAAUUUAGGAUUUUAAAAAGGAAAAAAAAAAAAAACUCAACAACGUUUUAGUUUUAUCAUUUUCGAACCACCGAUCUUAAUUCCACUGUAAUCUGAUCUACGAUUUUUGACGAAUUUCUUUUUGCUUCAUAUUGUCUCCUUUGAAUUAGAAGAAGUAAGCUGUAUAAAUUUUCUAUAUAACGUUUACGGACUUUCUUGGGUUCUUUUCAUAUUUUUAUGCAAGUGACAAUAAUACGUGUAUAAAGGGAAGCGUGUGUGUUUUGUUUUUUUAGUUACCAUGAAACGAAAAAUAGACCCGAAUACACUGUUCUAAAAAUCGA